rnacentral:rRNA from 1 species
GUAGGUGGCAAGCGUUGUCCGGGAAUUAUUGGGGCGUAAAGCGCGCGCAGGCGGUUCUUUAAGUCUGAUGUGAAAGCCCACGGGCUCAACCGUGGAGGGUCAUUGGAAACUGGAGAACUUGAGUACAGAAGAGGAAAGCGGAAUUCCACGUGUAGCGGCGAAAUGCGUAGAGAUGUGGAGGAACACCAGUGGCGAAGGCGGCUUUCUGGUCUGUAACUGACGCUGAGGCGCGAAAGCGUGGGGAGCAAACAGGAUUAGAUACCCUGGUAGUCCACGCCGUAAACGAUGAGUGCUAAGUGUUCGGGGGUUUCCGCCCCUUAGUGCUGCAGCUAACGCAUUAAGCACUCCGCCUGGGGAGUACGGCCGCAAAGGCUG